rnacentral:rRNA from 1 species
UACGUAGGCAGCAAGCGUUGUUCGGAGUUACUGGGCGUAAAGGGUGCGUAGGCGGCUAUUUAAGUUUGGUGUGAAAUCUCCCGGCUCAACCGGGAGGGUGCGCCGAAUACUGAGUGGCUAGAGUACGGGAGAGGAAAGCGGAAUUCCUGGUGUAGCGGUGAAAUGCGUAGAUAUCAGGAGGAACACCGGUGGUGUAAACGGCUUUCUGGACCGUAACUGACGCUGAGGCACGAAAGCGUGGGUAGCAAACAGG